CAAGAUUGUUUUCAAUUUCAACAUGAAGUCGUGAAGAAAUGUAAAAUAGUGGAAACUGUUGUUCAUCACAUCCGGUAUGGAUUGCAACGAAAACAGAUUUGAGUUUCUUCAAUAAGACUGACAAGAAAGAAAAUGAAGAUGAUCAGGAUCGAUGAGUGAUUCAGGUGAAGAAUUCGAAGAUGUAGGAAAAUUCAAUAGCGGAAACUGGUGAGAAGAAAAUGCAGAUGAUAAUCAGAAGGGUGACCACCAGGAAGGUGAAGAUGUAGAAAGAGUCCAUAGCGGUGAGUUGAAAGUUUACGUAAACUGUAAGUUGGAUAAUAUAGACUGAAUCAAGUUGGAUGAAUGGAUUGAAGAUAGGCUACAAUGAAAUUUAAUGUCCACCCUCUGGCAUCAUCUGGGUAAGAAUACUGUUUCAAGCAUAAGACAAAUCUCUCUUAUGAGAACUGCAGGAACUCAACAUUGCAUCUUCGAAUCCUUCAAUCUUCAUCAUUAAAGGUUCAUUAGGCAAUCCAAUCACCUGUCAAAAUAUUUCAAUAUGGCGGUUGGUUGGCAAACAACGUUUUCCUUUCCUAAUUUGGAACUUUCGGAAGCUUUUUCUGAAUAUUUGACAUUGAUUGGUGUUAAAUAUCGUUUAGUUUUUUUGAUAUAUAUAGUGAAUAGUGAGAACUAAGUUUUAUUCCGAAAGAAAAAUGCCUGUAACAAGUAUUAUGGUUAAUUGUGGAAGUCGUGCAGAUCGGUACCAUAAGGAUUUUUUCGUAUACCUACUGUGACAAAAUCUGUGCAUUACCUACAUAUUAACGAAGAAGUGAUAUGAUAUGUGGUUAGCAGCUCAAGAGAGAAGAUCAUUUCAUAACGGGUAGGUACCUAAGAAGAAUAUCUAUGUGUCUGUAUUCAUAUACCUAUAAGUGAAACUGAAUAUACAGUGAUUUAUUUCGAAUACGAUUUUAUAAAAGUAUAACUUACUAAAAAUAUGUAAAAUUUUCUAUUCAUUUUUUAGUUUAACGAAGGAAGUGAUCUGGGUGAUACAGAGCAAGCACAGCAAAGCAGAUUGAGAGGCUGUGCUAAACAAACAGACUUGACAAUGACCAUGUUGAGUACACAAGUUGAGCAGCUCAAAUUUGCCAGCAGAAAAAUAGAAGACUUAGAAAAGAAAGUUGAAAACACUCCUCGGUGACUAAUGGACAAUAUCAAUAAUGUAUUUUUGUGGAAGUAUUAUUGUGGGUUUGAUCAUAAAUUCAUUAAAGCAGCUAUUUUUCCAGAAAUAGAACCUCACAUUUCAUCAACAUCAACAACAGUACUGAGUCCUAUCAAUAAAAUGUUACUCACAUUAGUAAAAUUGAUGUAUGUUUGAAUAAUAAAAAUAUUUGAGAGAAACUCAA